AUGUACAUGCCUACAGCAUAGUGUAAUGCAUCGGAUCCCAUUAGAAAUCCAUAGUUAAGCGUGCUUAGGCUAGAGUAGUAAUGGGAUGGGUGACCGCCCAGGAAGUCCUAGUGUUUUACAUG
rfam:Picea glauca, whole genome shotgun sequence.